GCUGCUGGUGCAAUACAUAAUAAAACUGAAUUGAUAAAGUGAUAAUUAGCAUUACACCUGCAUAAGGAUGAGACUGAAAUCAGUGAAGCGCUUUCCAAAUGG